ensembl:snRNA U6 U6 spliceosomal RNA
AUGUUUGCACUAGCAGCCCAUAUACUAAAAUUGGAAUGAUACAGAGAUCAGCAUGGCCUGGUGCAAGGAUGACACACCAAUUUGUGAAGCAUUCCACACUUUU